rnacentral:rRNA from 1 species
GACGAACGCUGGCGGCGUGCUUAACACAUGCAAGUCGAACGCUGAAGCUUGGUGCUUGCUCUGGGUGGAUGAGUGGCGAACGGGUGAGUAAUACGUGAGUAACCUGCCUUUGACUCUGGGAUAAGCCUGGGAAACUGGGUCUAAUACUGGAUAUGACAUGCCACUGCAUGGUGGUGUGUGGAAAGGGUUUUACUGGUUUUGCAUGGGCUCAUGGCCUAGCAGCUUGUUGGUGGGGUAAUGGCCUACCAAGGCGACGACGGGUAGCCGGCCUGAGAGGGUGACCGGCCCCAGUGGGACAGAGACGCGGCCCAGACGCAUACGGGAGGAAGGGGUGGGAAAUAUUGCACGAUGGGCGGAGGCCGGGUGCAGGGACGCCGGGUGGGAGAGGACGGCCUUCGGGGUGUAAACCUCUUUCAGGACGGAAGGAGCGAGAGUAACGGUACGUGCAAAAGAGGCGCGGGUAAAUUAGGG